rnacentral:rRNA from 1 species
AACGAACGCUGGCGGCAUGCCUAACACAUGCGAGUCGAACGAUGCCUUCGGGCAUAGUGGCGCACGGGUGCGUAACGCGUGGGAAUCUGCCCUUGGCUUCGGAAUAACAGUUAGAAAUGACUGCUAAUACCGGAUGAUGUCCCCCUGAGAGAUCUUGGGGACCAAAGAUUUAUCGGCCAGGGAUGAGCCCGCGUAGGAUUAGGUAGUUGGUGGGGUAAAGGCCUACCAAGCCGACGAUCCUUAGCUGGUCUGAGAGGAUGAUCAGCCACACUGGGACUGAGACACGGCCCAGACUCCUACGGGAGGCAGCAGUGGGGAAUAUUGGACAAUGGGGGGAACCCUGAUCCAGCAAUGCCGCGUGAGUGAUGAAGGCCUUAGGGUUGUAAAGCUCUUUUACCAGGGAUGAUAAUGACAGUACCUGGAGAAUAAGCUCCGGCUAACUCCGUG